rnacentral:rRNA from 1 species
GUGGGGAAUUUUGGACAAUGGGCGAAAGCCUGAUCCAGCAAUGCCGCGUGUGUGAAGAAGGCCUUCGGGUUGUAAAGCACUUUUUGCAGGGAAGAAACAGUGCGUGCUAAUACCAUGCGCGAAUGACGGUACCUGCAGAAUAAGCACCGGCUAACUACGUGCCAGCAGCCGCGGUAAUACGUAGGGUGCAAGCGUUAAUCGGAAUUACUGGGCGUACAGCGUGCGCAGGCGGCUUUGUAAGACGGAUGUGAAAGCCCCGGGCUCAACCUGGGAAGUGCAUUCGUGACUGCAAGGCUAGAGUGUGUCAGAGGGAGGUGGAAUUCCGCGUGUAGCAGUGAAAUGCGUAGAGAUGCGGAGGAACACCGAUGGCGAAGGCAGCCUCCUGGGAUAACACUGACGCUCAGGCACGAAAGCGUGGGGAGCAAACAGGAUUAGAAACCCGUGUAGUCC